AGCGAACGCUAGCGGCGUACUUAACACAUGCAAGUCGAACGGGGAUCGUCGGGUUAGCAAUAAUUCGGCGGUCCUAGUGGCGUACGGGUGAGUAACACGUGGGCAACUUGCCCUUGAGACCGGGAUACCCUCUCGAAAGGGAGGCUAAUACUGGAUACGUUCUUCGGAUCGCAAGAUCUGGAGAGGAAAGGUGGCGCAAGCUACCGCUCUUGGAGAGGCUCGCGGCCUAUCAGCUAGUUGGUGAGGUAAUGGCUCACCAAGGCUAUGACGGGUAGCUGGUCUGAGAGGACGACCAGCCACACGGGAACUGAGACACGGUCCCGACUCCUACGGGAGGCAGCAGUGGGGAAUUUUCCGCAAUGGGCGAAAGCCUGACGGAGUGACGCCGCGUGGGGGACGAAGGCCUCGG
rnacentral:rRNA from 1 species